AACGAACGCUGGCGGCAGGCUUAACACAUGCAAGUCGAACGCGUGUAGCAAUACACGAGUGGCGCACGGGUGAGUAACGCGUGGAUAUCUGCCUUUUGGUUCGGAAUAACUCCGGGAAACUGGAGCUAAUACCGGAUGGUUCCUACGGGAUAAAGAUUUAUCGCCAAAAGAUGAGUCCGCGUACGAUUAGCUAGUUGGUGAGGUAAUGGCUCACCAAGGCGACGAUCGUUAGCUGGUCUGAGAGGACGAUCAGCCACACUGGGACUGAGACACGGCCCAGACUCCUACGGGAGGCAGCAGUGGGGAAUAUUGGACAAUGGGGGCAACCCUGAUCCAGCCAUGCCGCGUGAGUGAUGAAGGCCUUCGGGUUGUAAAGCUCUUUUGGCGGGGACGAUGAUGACGGUACCCGCAGAAUAAGCCCCGGCUAACUUCGUGCCAGCCGCCGCCGUAAAAC
rnacentral:rRNA from 1 species